rnacentral:lncRNA from 1 species
GCAUACUGGAUUUAAAAGAUAUUUAUGAAGCAUGAGAGAAACUACGUUGUCAACAGGUUUCCCUACUUCUGCUAUUUCCUUUAGUAGUCCAUUUCCACAGAAGCUACAGGAAUUCUUGCUAUGUGACCUACCGUAGUUACCUUGCUGAACUCAUCUGGCUCUACUCUCUACCUCCCUACUUCUCUUGAGUCCCGUUAGCCAGCACACCUGGAUCCUCCACAUCUGAGCACCAUCUGCUCCUUUAUUCUGCCUAAAAUGUACUUCCUCAAAUCUCUGUAUGGCUAGCUCCCUAAUAUAAGUCUGCUCACUAUAAAAUGGCAUUUCUGACCUACCACCCUUUUAAAAAUAACUGCUGACCUUCCUCCUUCUACUUUCUAUCAUUAAACUCUAUUAUUUUAGAUCAUUUACUUAUCACUAUGUGAAAUCAUAUGAUUUAUCUUGUUUCUGUUUGUCUUUUCCCCCCAGAUAGAAUGUAAACUUGAUGAGGG